UACGGGGGGGAGCAAGCGUUGUUCGGAUUUACUAGGCGUAAAGGGCGCGUAGGCGGUCGUGACAAGUCACUUGUGAAAUCUCCGGGCUUAACUCGGAACGGUCAAGUGAUACUGUCGGACUAGAGUACAGAAGGGGCAACUGGAAUUCUCGGGUGUAGCGGUGAAAUGCGUAGAUAUCGGGGAGGAACACCAGUGGGCGAAGGCGACUUCCUGGCCUGUUCUUGACGCUGAGGCGCGAAAGCGUGGGGAGCAAACAGGG
rnacentral:rRNA from 1 species